rnacentral:rRNA from 1 species
CAGCCGCCGCGGUAAUACGUAGGUGGCAAGCGUUGUCCGGAUUUAUUGGGCGUAAAGCGAGCGCAGGCGGUCAAUUAAGUCUGAUGUGAAAGCCCCCGGCUCAACCGGGGAGGGUCAUUGGAAACUGGUUGACUUGAGUGCAGAAGAGGAGAGUGGAAUUCCAUGUGUAGCGGUGAAAUGCGUAGAUAUAUGGAGGAACACCAGUGGCGAAGGCGACUCUCUGGUCUGUAACUGACGCUGAGGCUCGAAAGCGUGGGUAGCAAACAGGAUUAGAUACCCCAGUAGUCCCUGUCUCUUAUAC